CUCAGCUGUGACACAGAGCUCCCACCUGGACUCUUCAUCAUCCCUGUAGGACUUAGGGGACAAAGGAUGCUGACAAAAACAUGAAGCACACACUUCUUGCUGUCCUGUAAGAAAAUUCUCUGUCUCUAACCCAGAAAUGGGUGAAAUCUGUCAGUCAGUUUGCAAGUAAGGCACAACCCCAGACCCUUCAGUUCUAUGACUUUCGGAGCACAGAGUGGGCUUAUAAUUAGAUACAAAGAAAGCUCACAAUGUUUUUAAGGGUAUUGUAUUUCAGGCUUUCUUCUUUCUAUGGAUAAGAAAGCUCCUCAGGUGGCAACAAAGGCCAUUUCUUUGGAAGCAGGCAUGGCAUGUGACGAAAAAAAGACAUCUCAGAAAAGAGCCAAGAAUAAGACUGGAGAGCCACUGUCAGAGAACAGAAACUGGGCUUAAUCAAGGAACAUCUCUUGUUCCCAGAGUAGGAGGCUGGCAAUAUUUUCUCACUGAAAUUUCAGAAUUGUUAUGGACCAGUGACUGCUCUAUGUGUUCAAUUUGUUCCCUUUUCAAAUGGAAGCAUUUAUUGCAGACGACCUGCCUCUGUCCCACCAUUGUGUAUUAGGUUUGUAGAGUGUAGACAACUUGCCUUUUUAGUUUGUAGGUUUCUGUAUCAAGAGAAGAUGUGUGUGGGCCUAACCUAGAUUACAGGAUCCUGGACUUCAAGUCUGAUAUAAUGACUGGAUGAGACUUUGACUGUCCUAGAAUUGGGAUGAACAUAUUUUGCCGGUGGGAGGGCGUGAGUAAUUGCGGUUAGAGGGCAGACUGUCCCUCACACCUAUUCCUUUUCAUGGUGCCUUCCCAAACUGCCUCUGGAGGUGGCCACACAAAUGGCUUUGGCCAUUGUGACCAUGGGAAACUUGAUGCAGAGGCUGGAAAAAGCACUUGCAUGUUUCUGUCUCCUCUCUUGUUCCUCUACAAUCACAAGAAAUGUCUAGGCAGGUCUGAGCAGGCCCAGGCUCAUCUGCCAUGGAAGAAGAAUGGCACAUGGAAGAGGGUCACAUUGUCCCAACCAAGACGAUCCUAGACCAGCCAGGCCCCAGUUCAUGGUUCAAGACACAUGAACAUAGUUGCACGAACCAAGAUUAGUUGUGUAUGGCCCAGACUAGCAGCAGCACCCAUCCAACCUACAGACUCUGAGAAAUAAAUACUAGUUGUCUUAAGCUUCCAAGUUUCAGUGUGAGCAUUAGGUAGUAACAGUUAAUGAAUAAGACAGAUAAUCAUUUUAUCUGUCUGGAUACUUAUACAAUGAUUUCUAUUUUUUAUUGAUACAUAAUAUUUUACAUAUUGCUGGGGUACAUGUGACAUUUUGCUACAUACAUAGAAUGUGUAAUGAUCCAGUCAGGAUAUCUGAGGUGUCCAUCACUUUGAGAAUUUCUCACUUCUGUGUGUUGGGAACAAUUCAAGUCGUCUCUUCUAGUUAUUUUAAAAUAUACAAUACAUUGUUAACUGUAGUCUUUUUUAUUGAAUGACAGGACUUGUACCUUUUAUCUAACUGUAUGUUUGUAUCUAUUAAGCUAGUUCUCUUUAUCCCUGCCCCCUCCUACCCACUCACUCUUCCCAACCUCUAACAUGUAUCAUCCUAUUCUAUAUCUCCAUGAGAUCAACUUCUUUAGCUCCCACAUAUGAGCAAAAACAUAUGAUGUUUGUCUUUCUGUGCCCGGUUUAUUUCACUUAUGACCUCCAUUUCCAUCCAUGUUACUAUAAAUGACAGGAUUUCAUUCUUUUUGUGGCCAAACAGUAUUUCAUUGUGUAUAUAUACUACAUUUUCUUUAUCCAUUCAUCCAUUGAUGAACACUUACGUUGAUUCCAUAUCUUUGCUAUUGUGAAUGGUGCUGCAAUAAACAUGCACGUGCAGUUAUCCCUUUGAUACACUGAUUUAUUUUCCUUUGGAUAAAUACCCAGUAGUGAGAUUGCUGGAUCAUACGGUAGUUCUACUUUUAGUUUUUGAGACAUUUCCAUACUUUUCCAGUGUUUGUAUUAAUUUACAUUCCCAUCAACAAUGUAUAAGAUUUCCCUUUCCUCCACAUCCUCACCAGCAUCUGCUAUUUUUUGUCUUUUUAAUAAUAGUCAUUCUAACUGGGGUGAGAGGAUAUCUCGCUAUGGUUUUGAUUUGCAUUUCCCUGAUAUUUAAUGAUAUUGAGCAUUUCUUCAUAUAACCUAUUGGCCAUUUGUGUGUCUUUUUUUUUUUUUUUUUUUUUUUUGAGAAUUGUCUACUCAUUUUUGGCUUUUUAAAAGAUUUAUUUUUUGUUGUUGUUGAGUUUAGUGCAUAUCCUGGAUAUUAGUCUCUUAUCUGAUGAAGAGUUUGCCAAUAUUUUCUCCCAUUCAACAGGUUGUCUCUUCAUUCUGUUGACUGUUUCCUUUGCUGUGCAGAAGCACUUUAUAUACAGUCCCAUUUGUCUAUUUUUUAGUAGUCUAUGCAUUUAAGGUCUCAGCCACAAAAUCUUUGCCUAGACCAGUCCUAAAGUGUUUCCCCUAUAUUUUCUUCUAGUAGUUUUAUUGUUUCAUGUCUUAUAUUUAAGUCUAUAAUCCAUUGUGAGUUGAUUUUUGUAUAUGGUGAGAUAGGGGCCUUGUUUCAUUCCUCUGCAUAUAGAUAUUUAAUUUUCUCAGCACCAUUUAUUGAAGGUGUCCUUCCCUAUUGUAUGUUCUUGGUGCCUUUGUCAAAAUUCAGUUGGCUAUAAAUAUGUGAAUUUAUUUCUGGGUUCUCUAUGUGGUUCCAUUAGUCUAUGUGUCUAUUUUUAUACCAAUAUCAUGCUGUUUUGAUUACCAUAGCCUUGUAAUAUAUUUUGAAGUCAGGUAGUGUGAUGCCUCCAGCUUUGUUCUUUUUGCUCAGGAUUGCUGUGCAUACUCUGGCUUUUUGGUUACAUACAAAUUUCAGGAUUUUUGUAUUUCUGUGAAAAAUGGCAUUAGUAUUUUGAUAGGAAUUGCACUGGAUCUGUAUAUUGUCCUGGACAACAUGGUCAUUUUAACAAUAUUAAUUCUUCUAAUCUAUGAGUAUGAGACGUCUUCCCACUUGUUUGUGUCCUCUUCAAUUUCUUUCAUUGGUGUUUCAUAAUCUCCCUUCUACAGGCCUUUCACCUCCUUGGUUAAAUUAAUUCCUAGGUAUUUUUUUGUAGCUACUGUAAAUGGGACUGCCUUCUUUCUCAGCUAGUUCAUUUUUGGUGCAUAGAAACCCUAUUUUUGUAUGUUCAUUUUCUAUCCUGCAACAUUACCAAAUUUGCUUAUCAGCUUUAAGUGUGUAUUUUGCUUUGCUUGUAGAGUCUUCUGGUUUCUCUAAAUGUAAGACGAUGUCAUCUGCAAACGGGGACAAUUUGACUUCCUCUUAAAAAUCUGUAUGCCUUUUAUUCCUUUCUCUUGCCUGAUUGCUCUGGCUCUACCUCCAGUACUAUACUGAAUAAAAGUGGUAAAAGUGAGCAUCCUUCCUUGUCUUGCUCUAGUUCUUAGAGGAAAUACUUUCAGUUUUUCCCCACUCAGUAUGAUGUUAGCUGUGGGUCAUAUAUAGCCUUUAUUAUGUUAAGAUAUGUUUCUUCUGUACCUGGUUUGUUGACAGCUUUUUAUCAUAAAAGGAUGUAGAAUUUUAUCAAAUGUUUUUUCUGCAUCUGUUGAGAUAAUCAUAUGGUUUUUGUCAUUCCUUCUACUGUUGUGAUGUAUCAUGUUUAUUGAUUUGUGUAUGUUAAACCAUCCUUGUGUCCUUGGUAUAAAUUAUACUUGGUCAUGGUGUAUUAUCUUUUUGGCAUCCUGUCGAAUUGUUUGCUAGCUUUUUGUUUUGUUCUUUUUGAGAAUUUUUAUGUCUAGGUUCCUUAGAAACACUGGCCUGUAGUUCUCUUUUUGUGUGUGUGUCCUUGUCUAGUUUGGUGUCAGGGAAAUGGUGGUCUUGUAGAAUGAGUUGUUUUUUCUUUGAUUUUUUUGCAAGAGUUUGAGGAGAAUGGGUAUUAGUUCUUCUUUAUGUGGUUGGUCAAAUUGGCAGUGAAUUCAUUCAGUCAUGAGCUUUUCUUUUUUUGGGAGGGUUCUCAUUACUGAGUUAAUCACACUGCUCAUUACUGAUCUGUUCAGAUUUUCUAUUUCUUCUGGAAUCUCAGUAGUUGUAUGUUUCCAGCAAUUUAUCCAUUUCCUCUAGGUUUUCUAGUUUGGUAGUAUAUAGCUAUUCAUAAUAGUCUCUGAUGAUCUUUUGUAUUUCUGUGAUAUCAGUUGUAAUGUCUUUUUCAUUUCCUAUUUUAUUUGGGUCUUUUCUUGUUUAGUCUAGCAAGGGGUUUAUCUAUUUUAUCUUUUUGAAGAACCAACUUUUUGUUUCAUUGACCCUUUCUACGUCUUUAGUCUUUAUUUCAUUUAGAUUUGCUCUGAACUUUACUAUGUCUUUCCUUCUAAUUUUGGGUUUGGUUUGUUCUUUUCUAGUUCCUUGAGGUGCAUCAUUGAAUUGUUUCUUUGAUAUCUAUCUACUCAUUUGAUGUAGGUGUUUAUUGCUAUACACUCUCCCCUCCUAGAGCUCCUUUUGUUGUGUCCCAUAGGUCUUGGUAUGUUGUUUCUAUUUUCAUUUGUUUCAAACAUUUUAUUUCCAUAUUAAUUUUUAUCAUUCAGGAGGAGCAUAUUAUUUAAUUCCCAUGUAUUUGUAUAGUUUCCAAAGUUCCUCUUAUUUCUAUUUUUACUCCAUUGUGGUCUGAGAAGAUACUUCAUAUGAUUUCAAUUUUUAAAAAUUUGUCAAGACUUGUUUUUUGUCCUAACAUAUGGUCUAUCCUGGAGAAUGUUCCAUGUGCUGAUGAGAAAAAUGUGUACUCAGCAGUUGUUGAGUAACAUGUUCUACAAAUAUCUGUUAGAUCCAUUUGGUCUAAAGUCUAGUUUAAAUCCAAUGAGUUUUUGUUAAUUUUGUCUAGAUGAUCAUGAUCUGAGACUGAGGUGAAGUCCCCAACAAUUAUCGUGUUGGAGUCUACCUCUCUUUUUAAAUCUAGAAAUAUUUGCUUUAUAAAUCCGGGUGGUCUAGUGUUGGGUGCAUAUAUUUAGUUGUUAUUUCCUCAUUAGAUUGAUCUCUUUACUAUUAUAUAAUAACUGUUUACUGCUUCUGGCAUAAAGUCUGUUUUAUGUAAGUACAGCCAUUCCUGCUUGAGUUUAGUACCAUGUUGACAAAGGGAUGCAUAGAGAGUUGGUAAAGCAUGAUUUCUGGGUGUCUGUGUGAAGGUGUUUUGAGAAGAGUUUAGCAUGAGUCUGUGGAGUGAGUGGGAAGAUUCUCCCUCAAUGUCAGCAGGAACCAUCCAUCCACUGGGGGCCCAGGUAGAAAAAGAUGAAGAAAUGGUGAAUUCUCUCUCUCUCCUGGAGCUGGGUCACCCUUCUUCUGCCCUUGAACAGGACAUCACAACUCCAGGCUCUCCAGCCUUUGGACUCCAAGACUGACACCAGUGCCCCUCCCCAAUUACCCCAGGCCCUCAGGCCUUUGGCCUAGGAUUGAGACUUACACCAUCAGCUUCCCUGGUUCUGAGGCUUCUGGACUUGCACUGGGCCAUACUACCAGCAUCCCAGGGUCUCCAGCUUGCAGAGAGCCUGUUGUGGGACUUUUCAGCCUCCAUAAUCAACUACUCUCCUUUGAAUGGGAAACCUACCCAGGCCUGAUGUCUGCUCCGGCUAGACUCGAACUCCUGGGCUCAAGCGAUCCUCCUGCCCCAGCAUCCCAGGUAGCUGGGACUACGGAUAAGCACCGCUGUGCCUGGCUUGGUAUCUGGCCCUAACGUGGCUCUGCUGCACUGACAGCCAACCUCCUGCACCUGCUGCCUGCUUCUUAUCACAAGAAGAGGUUUACUCCUGGACAGUCUGAAGCAAUUAUGAUUCUUUCCUUACCAAAAUUAUUAAAAACUACAAUGCCCAGAGUUAUCUGCUUCUAGGGUUCUCCCAGGAUUACUGCCGAUGCAAAACUUGUCCCCCAACUACUUCCACUCUUAGCCAUUUGACACUGCCAAGCUCUGUGGUUCUCAAGUUAGCAAGAGGAAGUACAAGAAGGAAUGAAGACUGACAGCUCCAGCUGCCCCCAGAGCAGCUCCCCACUCCUUUCUUACCACAUCACCGUCAGCAUCUUUGAGGUGGGGCACACAAAGGUGUGUCAACAUGGAAAUACCACCUUACAGUUCUUCAAAAGCAUUCUUAUAUCAUUAUUCUCACAAUUCAGCAAAGCAAGCAGAGAAUUUCCUUCAUUAAGCAGAUGAAAACCUGGACCCCAAGGGAAGUAGAUAACCACCCAGGGAGUACUGUCACCAGUAUUAUCUGUAGUUUACAGCUGAGAAAACUGUUGCUCAGGAAGCUUCAAGGCAUCUGCCCAAAGUCACCUGGCCUGUAAGGGCUGGCCUGGGAUUGAACAUAGUCUGCUUUUCCAAGAUCACUCUUCCUUACUUACCACACUGACCCUCAGCACAAGAAGAGGAUUAGCUCCAGCUAGGACCAGAUUCCAGGUCAUAUGAUGUUACCUCAGGGCUCUGCAGGCACAUUUCUGAAUGAAUGAAAACUUUUUUUGCAACAAGGGAAAUGCUUAGAUUUCUGCCUUCGGGAUAUAUUCAUAAGCAUACUAUGCACAAGACUUCCAAUUCUUGAUUAUGUAAAGGAAACCAAGUUUACUCAAGAAGGAGUUAGAACACAGUAUCUCCUUACCAUACUUCUAAUCAUUACCAAAAACAG
rnacentral:lncRNA from 1 species